rnacentral:misc_RNA from 1 species
UCCCCCGUGAGGGGGCAGUCUCGCCUGACAUAAGUAACAGACAACGAGGGUUGCGUUCGUUACCCCACUGAAGGGAACAGCUCAAGCCACGAACUGACGACGACCAUGCAUCACCUGUCCAGCACCCUCGAAGGCUUCCUCCCUUUCGGGAGGCGUGCAGCUGGAUUUCUAGCCCGGGUAAGGUUCUUCGCUUGUCGACGAAUUAAGCCACAUGAUCCACCCCUUGUGCGAGUCCCCGUCUAUUCCUUUGAGUUUUAAUCUUGCGAUCGUACUACCCAGGCGGCUCGCUUACCGCGUUAGCUUAGUCCCACAGAGGGUCGAUACUCCGUAGAACGAGCGAGCAGCGUUUAGGGCCAGGACUA